rnacentral:rRNA from 1 species
UACGAACUGUGCGAACGUUAUUCGGAAUCACUGGGCUUACAGGGUUCGUAGGCGGCUUGUUAAGUUUGGUGUGAAAUCUCCCGGCUCAACUGGGAGGGUGCGCCGAAUACUGAAUGACUAGAGUGCGGGAGAGGUGAGUGGAAUUCCUGGUGUAGCGGUGAAAUGCGUAGAUAUCAGGAGGAACACCGGUGGUGUAGACGGCUCACUGGACCGUAACUGACGCUGAGACACGAAAGCGUGGGUAGCAAACAGG